rnacentral:lncRNA from 1 species
UGCUGUACAAGGUCUUUUUCUUUGUUGUCAUGGUUGAUUUUGUACAUCUCAGCAUUUGCAUCAUACAAAGGGGGGAGCAACAGCCAUGGCUUUUGGUCAGGUUCAGGGGGGCUGAGGGGGUGCUCCUCCCCUCCCCCCAGGCACUGACACAUUGAAAGGAAGCAGAGCAACAAUGACACAGCACAAAUGUGGGAAAGGGGUUCCCCCGCGCGAGCAGGAUGGUCGAUCUCACCUGGGUCUCACCAGGACUCCCCGCUCCCACCCAGGGCCAGCACGAGCACCUCCCAUUCUCUCCCCAGUGAAGAGCGUGGGGUGACAGGAGUGGGACUGGAGCAGGGGACAUUUGGUGGGAGGCAUGUCCUCAGGCCUGGGAGCCCAGGCUGACCCCAGCCUCCCUGUGCAGUCAGGGGCCUGUGGAACCCUAAAGGAUGGAGCAGGUGGCCAGCGGGCAUGGGCAACCCUGCCAGCUGGGUGCCGGGCUUUUGGAGCUAGGGGCCCACCGCACUGCACUCUAGCCACAAGGCUGUGGGCUGGCUGCUUUGCCCACCGGCUGUCCCCUGACAGGGGCUCUGGGCUGCAACACUGCCGUCUCCUUUUCGUUCUCUCGCUCUCACACACCUGGGAUGGCGUCUCCACUUCCUGAUUCCAUCUGGAGGAGUACCCCGCACAGCCUUGCUGUUAAGGACACCUUUUGGGAGCUUCUGGAUUUGGAGGGGAGGACGUCCAUGUUUGGAGAUCCUGACCCGCCCUGACCCGUCGCCAGUGCCCAGCCCAGGGCGACCCGUAGCUGCCUUUUUCCUUCUCUCUGGCAGCGCCUCCCAGGCACGGGAGCCCGGCCUUCCCCAAGAGCGCACACGCUCACCUCACCUGGUGCACGCUCCCUUGCGCCUCAUUCUUUUCACCCAUCUACAAAUGAUUGCUCCUUCCUAUUUUCCUAUCUGGGGGUCCUCUCCCUUGUGUGUGUGCUGAAUUCUGGGGCCACUCCUCCCCUAAGUGUGUUGCAUGCACACUGCCCCAUUUAUGUGUGCACACUCAUUCCUCUCCCACCCAGUGGGUCACGCACACCUCACCUCCCAGGCGAUCCUGUGAGGAUCCCACCCCUGCUAGAGCAACUCUCACGUAUUCUAUGCACUACGUGUGCCACACAGACAUGCUCUCUGGGCCACACAUUAGCUGCUCUCCACAGCCAAGUCUGCAUCAGUAAUGACAGUCAUUGUGUUCCCCUGGGCCUAAGAGUGAUCACUUGGCAGUGGUUGGAGCCAGGUGUGUGCCAGGCAGAAAUUUUCCCCCAUACCCACCCCCAGGAAGACCUCAAGUCCUGCUGUCCCAGAGCAGAAUAGAGGGGUCUGGGACGUGGACUCAGACUAAACCAGCCAUCCUGGAGGGCAGGCAUCAGGGGUGGGGAGAGGGUUGGAUAAGAAUGGGGGCAGCUUG